UGAAAUGCGAAAAUUAAUGUGAUUUGCAUGAAUCUGUGAGUCAUCAAGUCUUUGAACGCAACUUGCACUCUUUUCUAAAGAAAGAGUAUACCUGUUUGAGAAUCGAAAACACUAUUAAUUCAUGAUUAGAAUUAGACCUGAGAUUCAAUGAAAUUGUUUCUUGAAAUAUAGAGUCCUCUUGGGAACGAGGUAUUGUGUGAUAAAGACAGUCAGUCUAACUCGCAAUCACUCCUCCCUAAGCUAUUAACUUUUAUUGAUCUCAAAUCAGGUAAGAUUACCCGCUGAACUUAA
rnacentral:misc_RNA from 1 species